rnacentral:rRNA from 1 species
GCUUAACGCGAAGAACCUUACCAGCUUUUGACAUGUCCGGUUUGAUCGGCAGAGAUGCCUUUCUUCAGUUCGGCUGGCCGGAACACAGGUGCUGCAUGGCUGUCGUCAGCUCGUGUCGUGAGAUGUUGGGUUAAGUCCCGCAACGAGCGCAACCCUCGCCCCUAGUUGCCAUCAUUCAGUUGGGAACUCUAGGGGGACUGCCGGUGAUAAGCCGCGAGGAAGGUGGGGAUGACGUCAAGUCCUCAUGGCCCUUACAGGCUGGGCUACACACGUGCUACAAUGGCGGUGACAAUGGGCAGCGAAAGGGCGACCUCGAGCUAAUCCCAAAAAGCCGUCUCAGUUCAGAUUGCACUCUGCAACUCGAGUGCAUGAAGGUGGAAUCGCUAGUAAUCGUGGAUCAGCAUGCUACGGUGAAUACGUUCCCGGGUCUUGUACACACCG